UCUCGGGUGACGAGUGGCGGACGGGUGAGUAAUGUCUGGGAAACUGCCUGAUGGAGGGGGAUAACUACUGGAAACGGUAGCUAAUACCGCAUAACGUCGCAAGACCAAAGAGGGGGACCUUCGGGCCUCUUGCCAUCAGAUGUGCCCAGAUGGGAUUAGCUAGUAGGUGGGGUAACGGCUCACCUAGGCGACGAUCCCUAGCUGGUCUGAGAGGAUGACCAGCCACACUGGAACUGAGACACGGUCCAGACUCCUACGGGAGGCAGCAGUGGGGAAUAUUGCACAAUGGGCGCAAGCCUGAUGCAGCCAUGCCGCGUGUAUGAAGAAGGCCUUCGGGUUGUAAAGUACUUUCAGCGGGGAGGAAGGCGAUAAGGUUAAUAACCUUGUCGAUUGACGUUACCCGCAGAAGAAGCACCGGCUAACUCCGUGCCAGCAGCCGCGGUAAUACGGAGGGUGCAAGCGUUAAUCGGAAUUACUGGGCGUAAAGCGCACGCAGGCGGUCUGUCAAGUCGGAUGUGAAAUCCCCGGGCUCAACCUGGGAACUGCAUUCGAAACUGGCAGGCUGGAGUCUUGUAGAGGGGGGUAGAAUUCCAGGUGUAGCGGUGAAAUGCGUAGAGAUCUGGAGGAAUACCGGUGGCGAAGGCGGCCCCCUGGACAAAGACUGACGCUCAGGUGCGAAAGC
rnacentral:rRNA from 1 species